rnacentral:lncRNA from 1 species
UAUCAAAAUACUUUGUACCAUAAUAUAUAUAUAUCAUAAUCUUUCACUAAAUAUGUGCAUAAAUCGAUAUACCAUAACAUUUCAAAAGCACUUUUCUUUAAAAACAUAAUUUCAUAAAUCAUGCAUAAUUUCAGAGAAUAAUUAUUUAUUUUCAGAAUAAAUAUGGAAUAUUUCGAGAAGAUGAUUCAUUACUUACCUUUCAUGGACCACUGAAUGAACAGAUCGACUAACUUCUAGAAAAUUCUUCCGUGCCUAUUAUCCAAAAUUAUAUUUUUAUAUUAAUUUUAAAUCUAACAAAUCCCAAAAUCAAAAUCUCGCUUAAAAUCAGACUCAUCUCUAAACUCGAUCAGAAUCAUCAGAUGAAGCCUUCCCCUAUGCUAAUCUUAGAAGGAUAACUUUAGAGAGAGAAAUCCAUCAAGAG